rnacentral:rRNA from 1 species
CUUAUAGUAGAGAGUUAAAUAUUUGUUUUAGGGCUAGGUCUAUAUAUUAUUUUGUCAUUCUGUUUUUCACUUCAAUGAGCUCUGUAUAUAUUUUUAGAUGUUUCCUUGCAAAUUGUUGUGUGUAUACUAGAUAUUGUAAUGCUUGUAUUAUAAGAUGCAAGUUUAUGUAUGUAUAUGGAGUGGUAUGUUCUGUCGUGGAAUAUAUAUUUUUUUGUGUACAUAUAUACAUAUAUUGUCAUGUAUCUUGUGUUGAGAGUUGGUCGUGCUUUAUAUGAUUUAUUUUUCGCAUAUUUUUCAGAGAGUGCGCUAACGCAUGAAAUCAGCAGCCUAAAGACUACGGCCGCAAGGCUAAAAUUUAAAGGAAUUGACGGGGGCUUACACAAGCGGUGGAGCAUGUGGUUUAAUUCGAAACAACGCGCAGAACCUUACCAAUCCUUGCAAUAUACAGAAAACAACUGUUAUAAGUUGUCUUUUAGUAUACAGGCGCUGCAUGGCUGUCGUCAGUUCGUGGCGUGAGCUGUUGGGUUAAGUCCUAGAACGAACGCAACCCUCUUGACAUGUAUUACACAAAGGUGUGUAAUCUUGUUAGACUGCCAGUGACAUACGGGAGGAAGGUGAGGAUGACGUCAAGUCCGCAUGGCCCUUAUGGGUUGGGCUACACACGUGCUACAAUGGCGGAAGCAAAAGGUGGCAAUAUGGUGACAUGGAGCAAAUCCUUAAAAACCGUCGUAGUUCAGAUUGUUCUCUGCAACUCGAGAACAUGAAGUUGGAAUCGCUAGUAAUCGUAGAUCAGCAUGCUACGGUGAAUUUGUAUCUAAGCCUUGUACACACCGCCCGUCACAUAAUGGGAGCGGGACUUACACAAAGCAUAUUAAAUAACAUUUGGACAGAUUUUAAUACGUUUUUUUCUGCCUUUGUUUAUUUAAUACGUUACUGUAGGUACUGUGACUGAUAUGAAGUCGUAACAAGGUAGCCGUAGGGGAACCUGCGGCUG